GUGGCAGGGAGUGGGAGGGUGAUUAACAGGGGAAGAAUUAGGAAAGAGGACACGCAAGACCACAGUAAGAGAUGGAAAUAAGAGAAUAUUCCUGAUUUCCACUGGAUGACUUUGACUGGUAUGAUUUCAUUCUCUGAAAGUGUUAACCAGGGUGCAGCAUGGCCAGAAACCAUUCCGAGCCUCAUGAAGUGGGCAAGUCAGGUUUGGUCAUUUUUGUUCUACUGGCUUUGAAGAAGCAAGCUGCUAUGAUGUAAACUGACUAUGGAGAAGGCCACGUGACAGGGAAUUGGGUGUAGACUCUAGGAACUGAGGUCUUAAUCCUACAACUGCAAGGGGAUUAAAGUCUACCAACAACCACCUGGGCUUGGAAGAGGACCGCUGAUCUCCAGAUGAGAACGGAGCCUGACCAACACCUUGAGUGCCACCUUGUGAGACUCUGAGCAAAGACCCAGCUAAGCCACACUUAGACUCUUGACGUACAGAAAAUGCAGAAGAGGAGAAGGAAGAGGAGAGGUUGUUCCUCUCAGGGGUGGCAGAUGUGGAAGAAAAUUCAUGUGUAAUGUCAUUGCAUGUACACAGUUUAAGACAGAGCAUCUGGUGAUUCUCGGACCUUCAAGCAAGUGUCACAUCUCAGGUGAACCUUGGCAGUUUUAAGAUGAACAAAGUAAUCAAAGCAAAAAUGUCAAAUAAUAAUAAUAAUAAUGAUAUCAGAAGAAUGUCCAGUGCCAUGGUUGGAUUCCCAGAAGGCAGCAUCUGCUCAUGCCAUCAACAACAUGGUGCCAUUUCAGUCAUCCUCUUUUUGUCCCAAAGACAGAAAAAAAAUAGAAAAAAGAAAGAGAAAAAGACACCACGAACCGUCUAUCCUCCUGGUAAUACAAAUACACCUGUAAAUAAACAUGUCAAUGUCUACACACAACGCACAUUUAUGCAGAAUCCAUCCUCUCGGUGCUUCCGUAGUUAUCAAGUAAAAGUCCUUCUAAGCCUAAGAAAUGAUAGUAUUAAUUCAGUCUUGGGGUGUGGGGGGAAAGGUGGACUAUCAUCAAAUAAAAAAGGCGAGGCUAAUUAAGUGACAUCCACUGGGGACUGGGAAAAGAAGAGACUUCUUGUGGGAAAGUAAUUAUAUCUUCAUUGACCCUCCUGGGGUACCCCCAGUGGCAGGGACUCUGCCUCGCGGUGUGACAUCUCCUUUCGGGAUGAGCAGCCAGUCACCUCGAGAAGCCCCCUUCUCCAUGGAUGCGUUUUCUAAUCAUUUCACAUGAUUGAGCCUCCAGCAAGUGAUGCUUUACUUAAUUCCUUUCCGCCUGUAGGGUGUGAGGUUUGGAGGGCCUCUCGUCAAAACUUUGGAGGGCUCUGUCAGUUUGAAAAGAACAUGACCUUUAAAUUGUAUCAGUAUGUUUGCUGGUGCAUAAGGGAGAGGAAAAGGUUCGUCCUGAUGGAAAACCACUCAGAAGCCAAGGAGUAAUUCAGAGGGAACCAGCCCAGGAAGAAUCAAGAAAGCUGCCCACAGUGUCAUUCUUCAGCUGAGAAAAGAGAGAGUUGACUAACUCCUCGGACUGGAGUGAGGACUCACAGAGGUGGUAGGACACUAACCAUCUAUGUCUCCAUUUCCUGGGUUGUAACACUGAGGUAGAACAUCUCACUGUCCCAUGGAGGAUUAUGUUAUUUUUGGAGAUUAAUAAUUUUGGAGGAAGAAAGGUGGCUUCCUGAAAAGGAAGUCACAUGAAGAAGCAACUUACACGGUGGUCUCUUUAAAUAAACAUAUUGUGACUAGACAA
ensembl:lncRNA LINC01837 long intergenic non-protein coding RNA 1837